AUGCAUGUCACACUUCCUGGGAAAUGCAGGGAAAGAAAUUACCUACAGCCAGUUUUUGAUGGACUUUCAGGCACCAGGGCAGAGGGUGGCAUGAAGGCAGUGCCAAAUCCCUGCCAGAGAUACUGGAGCGGUUGUUCAGUGGAACAGGAAGUGUUUCAGCAAGCAGUGGAACGAGUCAAGCCUGGUUUCCGAGGACCACGCAUUGUCCAGCCACCAGCACUCUGUGUCUAUAUGGUAUCCAUACCCAUUGGAUGUGCAUGGUGAGGCAGAUAAAGAAAAUGGAGGUGAUUUCCCACUUUUCUUCUGGCCUAGGGCAGGGCUUACUUUUUCUGGCAAUUUUUCACCUUCAGCAUCGAGUUCAGGUAGCUUCUAAUGGUAAAACAUUUAAAAAAGUCAUAACGUGCCUAAAUUGAAGGCAAAAUAACUGUGAAUGUGAACUGGAGAAGAGGGAUAGGGGUUCCCGAACACAAAACUUGCCAGACUGAUGGAUUGGGCUUCUGACUGAAGAAUGUGCCUAUUGCUGUGUUUAGUGUGUUCAGAAAAACACAAUCUCAACCUUGUUUUUCUGUAAGUAGGUCAGUACACUACCUCAGAUUCCCUGUUCUCGAUCAUUAUAGAAACAACCUGGCAGGGCCCUGAAUUUUGGCUAACUUAUUAGUCCUGUAGUGUGACAGUACAUAGUUGUCUGAAGGUUCUGUCAAAAAAAGAGAUAGUUCAAUGAACACUCAAAUUUGAAUACUGAAAUUAUUUAGCCAUACAGGAUUGCCUGUUUCUCUUUAAUUCUGAUUUGUUGUUUUGCUUUGUUUUGUUUGUUGUUGUUGUUGUUUUUUAAUUUUAUUUUUUUAAAUGCCUUUUGUUAAUUCAGGUUCACAGAAAACUGUUCACAUCCUGCAGCAAAAGAUAGAGACAGAUUCUACCCUACAAGAUUGGAGAGGUAUCUGCGUGAUUCAUCACCGAGUUGCAGUUGCAUCUGUAAACUGCUAAAUGUGCUUACCCAGUAGAGAACUUGAGCAAGACAAGGUGGUCUGUAGUGAAGGCUACAUGCUUACAGUGCAAGAACUAAGGCAUGUGGCCAGAAAAAGAAAAAAAAAGGGAUGACUGUUGCACUGCUAUGUUUCAUACUGUCUUGACACCAGAACAGCUUUUGAGCUUGGGUAACUUUGAGGAUGCUAUGCUCUAAGCUAGCAGCAAUUAUGUGGAGGUACAGGCAUGUCAGAAGAGCAGCUUCUGGUCUCUUGUGCCUCCAGUCCUGUGUUUGAUCACU
rnacentral:lncRNA from 1 species